CCCCAUCACUCUAAAUACUUAUUUUCUAUUUAAAUUAUCUUCUAAUAUUCCAGGAUUAUAUCAUUCUCCACUGAGUGACUUCAUUAUAAUUUAACUUUGCACAUUUACCCCUUGUAUUAUCUGCAGUUGAGUUCCGAAGUAUUUAUUAUCAAGGAAUAUUACAGAAGGGCUACAUUCAUAGUACAGGAGUCCUGAUUAUAAAAUUAUGUUGUGUAAUUCAUAACAUUGAAACUAUUAUGUGUUUGCAAGGGGUGUGUGUCUGUUGUGCAAUUCCAAAACAUAAAGUAUUCAGACAGGUUGAUCCACUUGUG